UUUGUCUCGCGAGAGUUGGCAACUGUGCUGAUACUGCCCAGCUCUGCUCAAUCAGGUUGACAAUCAUCAUUUGAACUGCAUCUUUUGAAAGACUUAAUUAUCAAAUCCUCACCUUGGCAUCACCAUACCACCAAUAUGACAGCUCUCAGUCAUAGAAUAGGAGCAUGAAUGAGCCACCAAAUACCCUUCACAGACAACGGAUAACAAAGUGAAUCAAUAUAGCUGCUAUAGCUAAGGUUCCAGAGCUACAAGUGAAACAUCCAUCAUCUCCCCUGUGGCCUCCAUGGCCUUCAUUUCUUCAGAACACUCCUCCUCCUCUGGGCCUCCAGUUUCUACAGAAUCCUCUUUUUUCCCUGACCCAUCACACUCCCUAGAGAC